GACUAGCAGGUGGUUGGUUAUGCCGGUUUGCCUGCCGCCUGGACUUGGCUCUGGCUAGUCAGCGAUUUGCCUGGAGACUAUGAGCUAUGCUUUUGGACAGGAGAUCGGCACCAGCCCACGAGGGGUGAAUACCGUCCCUAUUCAAAAGCCCAGACCUACCCCCAAACAUUUGCCAAUUGUCUGUAUAACCCACAGCAUUUUUCGGGCACCAUUCUGACAGCCAGCGAUGCAGCGACGAUAAUCUGCUGUACAUUUCAUCACCACGUCUAGCAGGGAUGGGGCCAGAGCGCGUUACUGACACACACAUCUUCUUCACAAGGCUGCACACCUCUAUGAAAUUUGUCUAUGUAACUAUUGACUAUGAAUUGCAGAAUCAUGCAUGAUCAAUAAUUAUAGCUCUACAUUAAUUUUAUCAUUCUUUUUUUUUUUUAAAGAUGUGAACAGAACGUGCAGCCGUGUUGAGGGACCAGGCAGUCUAUACACAAUAACAAUGGUGUUAAUGGUUCCCUGACUAUGAAACUUGAAAGGGGGGGUGACCUAUAAUAUAUUUUGCCGAGCUCAGGGGUAGGAAUGGACAACGCACAAGCUUUUAAAACUAAUUAAUAGUCAGGCCGAGUUCAUUUAAAAACUAUUAAUUGUUCUUUAUAUUUUAAGAACUCAGGCUGGGAUUCAUAGCUGUGACUGUCUGCAAUUUUCUUACUUCGUACAGAAAUUAACAUUCAUAAGUGCUUGUCUCGUUCGUCCCUCCACAUAAGUUAUGGGGUCUGCUGUCAUAUGCUGGCUGGGGAAAAAUAAUACCUGCUUUAGUUUCUAGUAGAAUAGAUUACUGUAAUGCCCUCUUGUCUAUUUCACAUCUACAACGGGCCCAGAAUGCCGCUGGCGGAGUGUUAACACGCACCAGUCACAGGGAUCACAUCUACAACCGGCCCAGAAUGCCGCUGGCGGAGUGUUAACACGCACCAGUCACAGGGAUCACAUCUACAACGGGCCCAGAAUGCCGCUGGCGGAGUGUUAACACGCACCAGUCACAGGGAUCACAUCUACAACGGGCCCAGAAUGCCGCUGGCGGAGUGUUAACACGCAACAGUCACAGGGAUCACAUCUACAACGGGCCCAGAAUGCCGCUGGCGGAGUGUUAACACGCACCAGUCACAGGGAUCACAUCUACAACGGGCCCAGAAUGCCGCUGGCGGAGUGUUAACACGCACCAGUCACAGGGAUCACAUCUACAACGGGCCCAGAAUGCCGCUGGCGGAGUGUUAACACGCAACAGUCACAGGGAUCACAUCUACAACGGGCCCAGAAUGCCGCUGGCGGAGUGUUAACACGCACCGGUCACAGGGAUCACAUCUACGACGGGCCCAGAAUGCCGCUAGGGGAGUGUUAACACGCACCAGUCACGGGGAUCACAUCUACAACGGGCCCAGAAUGCCGCUGGCGGAGUGUUAACACGCACCGGUCACAGGGAUCACAUCUACAACAGGCCCAGAAUGCCGCUAGGGGAGUGUUAACACGCACCAGUCACGGGGAUCACAUCUACAACGGGCCCAGAAUGCCGCUGGCAGAGUGUUAACACGCACCGGUCACAGGGAUCACAUCUACAACGGGCCCAGAAUGCCGCUGGCGGAGUGUUAACACGCACCGGUCACAGGGAUCACAUCUACGACGGGCCCAGAAUGCCGCUGGCGGAGUGUUAACACGCACCAGUCACGGGGAUCACAUCUACAACGGGCCCAGAAUGCCGCUGGCGGAGUGUUAACACGCACCAGGCACAGGGAUCACAUCUACAACGGGCCCAGAAUGCCGCUGGCGGAGUGUUAACACGCACCGGUCACAGGGAUCACAUCUACAACGGGCCCAGAAUGCCGCUGGCGGAGUGUUAACACGCACCGGUCACGGGGAUCACAUCUACGACGGGCCCAGAAUGCCGCUGGCGGAGUGUUAACACGCACCAGUCACAGGGAUCACAUCUACAACGGGCCCAGAAUGCCGCUGGCGGAGUGUUAACACGCACCGUUCACAGGGAUCACAUCUACGACGGGCCCAGGAUGCCGCUGGCGGAGUGUUAACACGCACCGGUCACGGGGAUCACAUCUACGACGGGCCCAGAAUGCCGCUGGCGGAGUGUUAACACGCACCAGUCACAGGGAUCACAUCUACAACGGGCCCAGAAUGCCGCUGGCGGAGUGUUAACACGCACCAGUCACAGGGAUCACAUCUACAACGGGCCCAGAAUGCCGCUAGGGGAGUGUUAACACGCACCAGUCACGGGGAUCACAUCUACGACGGGCCCAGAAUGCCGCUGGCGGAGUGUUAACACGCACCGGUCACAGGGAUCACAUCUACAACGGGCCCAGAAUGCCGCUAGGGGAGUGUUAACACGCACCAGUCACGGGGAUCACAUCUACGACGGGCCCAGAAUGCCGCUGGCGGAGUGUUAACACGCACCAGUCAGAGGGAUCACAUCUACAACGGGCCCAGAAUGCCGCUGGCGGAGUGUUAACACGCACCAGUCACAGGGAUCACAUCUACAACGGGCCCAGAAUGCCGCUAGGGGAGUGUUAACACGCACCAGUCACGGGGAUCACAUCUACAACGGGCCCAGAAUGCCGCUGGCGGAGUGUUAACACGCACCAGUCACGGGGAUCACAUCUACAACGGGCCCAGAAUGCCGCUAGGGGAGUGUUAACACGCACCAGUCACGGGGAUCACAUCUACAACGGGCCCAGAAUGCCGCUAGGGGAGUGUUAACACGCACCAGUCACGGGGAUCACAUCUACAACGGUCCCAGAAUCCCGCUGGCGGAGUGUUAACACGCACCAGUCACGGGGAUCACAUCUACGACGGGCCCAGAAUGCCGCUGGCGGAGUGUUAACACGCACCAGUCACAGGGAUCACAUCUACCACGGGCCCAGAAUGCCGCUAGGGGAGUGUUAACACGCACCAGUCACGGGGAUCACAUCUACAACGGGCCCAGAAUGCCGCUGGCGGAGUGUUAACACGCACCAGUCACAGGGAUCACAUCUACAACGGGCCCAGAAUGCCGCUAGGGGAGUGUAAACACGCACCAGUCACGGGGAUCACAUCUACGACGGGCCCAGAAUGCCGCUGGCGGAGUGUUAACACGCACCGGUCACAGGGAUCACAUCUACAACGGGCCCAGAAUGCCGCUAGGGGAGUGUUAACACGCACCGGUCACAGGGAUCACAUCUACAACGGGCCCAGAAUGCCGCUGGCGGAGUGUUAACACGCACCAGUCACAGGGAUCACAUCUACAACGGGCCCAGAAUGCCGCUGGCGGAGUGUUAACACGCACCAGUCACAGGGAUCACAUCUACAACGGGCCCAGAAUGCCGCUGGCGGAGUGUUAACACGCACCAGGCACAGGGAUCACAUCCACAACGGGCCCAGAAUGCCGCUGGCGGAGUGUUAACACGCACCGGUCACAGGGAUCACAUCUACAACGGGCCCAGAAUGCCGCCGGCGGAGUGUUAACACGCACCGGUCAGAGGGAUCACAUCUACAACGGGCCCAGAAUGCCGCCGGCGGAGUGUUAACACGCACCAGUCACAGGGAUCACAUCUACAACGGGCCCAGAAUGCCGCCGGCGGAGUGUUAACACGCACCAGUCACAGGGAUCACAUCUACGACGGGCCCGGAUUGCCGCCGGCGGAGUGUUAACACGCACCAGUCACAGGGAUCACAUCUACGACGGGCCCGGAUUGCCGCCGGCGGAGUGUUAACACGCACCAGUCAGAGGGAUCACAUCUACAACGGGCCCAGAAUGUCGCCGGCGGAGUGUUAACACGCACCAGUCACAGGGAUCACAUCUACAACGGGUCCAGAAUGCCGCCGGCGGAGUGUUAACACGCACCAGUCACAGCGAUCACAUCUACAACGGGCCCAGAAUGCCGCCGGCGGAGUGUUAACACGCACCAAUCAGAGGGAUCACAUCUACAACGGGUCCAGAAUGCCGCCGGCGGAGUGUUAACACGCACCAGUCAGAGGGAUCACAUCUACAACGGGCCCAGAAUGCCGCCGGCGGAGUGUUAACACGCACCAGUCACGGGGAUCACAUCUACAACGGGCCCAGGAUGCCGCCGGCGGAGUGUUAACACGCACCAGUCACGGGGAUCACAUCUACAACGGGCCCAGAAUGCCGCCGGCGGAGUGUUAACACGCACCAGUCACGGGGAUCACAUCUACAACGGGCCCAGGAUGCCGCCGGCGGAGUGUUAACACGCACCAGUCACAGGGAUCACAUCUACAACGGGCCCAGAAUGCCGCCGGCGGAGUGUUAACACGCACCAGUCACGGGGAUCACAUCUACGACGGGCCCAGAAUGCCGCUGGCGGAGUGUUAACACGCACCAGUCACGGGGAUCACAUCUACGACGGGCCCAGAAUGCCGCUGGCGGAGUGUUAACACGCACCAGUCACGGGGAUCGCAUCUACAACGGGUCCAGAAUGCCGCUGGCGGAGUGUUAACACGCACCGGUCACAGGGAUCACAUCUACAACGGGCCCAGAAUGCCGCUGGCGGAGUGUUAACACGCACCAGUCACAGGGAUCGCAUCUACAACGGGCCCAGAAUGCCGCUGGCGGAGUGUUAAUACGCACCAGUCACGGGGAUCGCAUCUACAACGGGUCCAGAAUGCCGCUGGCGGAGUGUUAACACGCACCGGUCACAGGGAUCACAUCUACAACGGGCCCAGAAUGCCGCUGGUGGAGUGUUAACACGCACCGGUCACAGGGAUCACAUCUACAACGGGCCCAGAAUGCCGCUAGGGGAGUGUUAACACGCACCAGUCACAGGGAUCGCAUCUACAACGGGCCCAGAAUGCCACUGGCGGAGUGUUAACACGCACCGGUCACAGGGAUCACAUCUACAACGGGCCCAGAAUGCCGCUAGGGGAGUGUUAACACGCACCAGUCACAGGGAUCGCAUCUACAACGGGCCCAGAAUGCCGCUGGCGGAGUGUUAAUACGCACCAGUCACGGGGAUCGCAUCUACAACGGGUCCAGAAUGCCGCUGGCGGAGUGUUAACACGCACCGGUCACAGGGAUCACAUCUACAACGGGCCCAGAAUGCCGCUGGUGGAGUGUUAACACGCACCGGUCACAGGGAUCACAUCUACAACGGGCCCAGAAUGCCGCUGGUGGAGUGUUAACACGCACCGGUCACAGGGAUCACAUCUACAACGGGCCCAGAAUGCCGCUAGGGGAGUGUUAACACGCACCAGUCACGGGGAUCACAUCUACAACGGGCCCAGAAUGCCGCUGGCGGAGUGUUAACACGCACCGUUCACAGGGAUCACAUCUACGACGGGCCCAGGAUGCCGCUAGGGGAGUGUUAACACGCACCAGUCACGGGGAUCACAUCUACGACGGGCCCAGAAUGCCGCUGGCGGAGUGUUAACACGCACCGGUCACAGGGAUCACAUCUACAACGGGCCCAGAAUGCCGCUAGGGGAGUGUUAACACGCACCAGUCACAGGGAUCACAUCUACAACGGGCCCAGAAUGCCGCCGGCGGAGUGUUAACACGCACCAGUCACAGGGAUCACAUCUACAACGGGCCCAGAAUGCCGCCGGCUGAGUGUUAACACGCACCAGUCACAGGGAUCACAUCUACAACGGGCCCAGAAUGCCGCCGGCGGAGUGUUAACACGCACCAGUCACAGGGAUCACAUCUACGACGGGCCCGGAUUGCCGCCGGCGGAGUGUUAACACGCACCAGUCACAGGGAUCACAUCUACGACGGGCCCGGAUUGCCGCCGGCGGAGUGUUAACACGCACCAGUCAGAGGGAUCACAUCUACAACGGGCCCAGAAUGCCGCUGGCGGAGUGUUAACACGCACCGGUCACAGGGAUCACAUCUACGACGGGCCCAGAAUGCCGCUGGCGGAGUGUUAACACGCACCAGUCACAGGGAUCACAUCUACAACGGGUCCAGAAUGCCGCUGGCGGAGUGUUAACACGCACCAGUCACAGGGAUCACAUCUACAACGGGCCCAGAAUGCCGCUGGCGGAGUGUUAACACGCACCAGGCACAGGGAUCACAUCUACAACGGGCCCAGAAUGCCGCUGGCGGAGUGUUAACACGCACCGUUCACAGGGAUCACAUCUACGACGGGCCCAGGAUGCCGCUGGCGGAGUGUUAACACGCACCGGUCACAGGGAUCACAUCUACAACGGGCCCAGAAUGCCGCUAGGGGAGUGUUAACACGCACCAGUCACGGGGAUCACAUCUAAGACGGGCCCAGAAUGCCGCUGGCGGAGUGUUAACACGCACCGGUCACAGGGAUCACAUCUACAACGGGCCCAGAAUGCCGCUAGGGGAGUGUUAACACGCACCAGUCACGGGGAUCACAUCUACGACGGGCCCAGAAUGCCGCUGGCGGAGUGUUAACACGCACCAGUCACAGGGAUCACAUCUACAACGGGCCCAGAAUGCCGCUAGGGGAGUGUUAACACGCACCAGUCACGGGGAUCACAUCUACAACGGGCCCAGAAUGCCGCUGGCGGAGUGUUAACACGCACCGUUCACAGGGAUCACAUCUACGACGGGCCCAGGAUGCCGCUAGGGGAGUGUUAACACGCACCAGUCACGGGGAUCACAUCUACGACGGGCCCAGAAUGCCGCUGGCGGAGUGUUAACACGCACCGGUCACUGGGAUCACAUCUACAACGGGCCCAGAAUGCCGCUAGGGGAGUGUUAACACGCACCAGUCACGGGGAUCACAUCUACGACGGGCCCAGAAUGCCGCUGGCGGAGUGUUAACACGCACCAGUCACAGGGAUCACAUCUACAACGGGCCCAGAAUGCCGCUAGGGGAGUGUUAACACGCACCAGUCACGGGGAUCACAUCUACAACGGGCCCAGAAUGCCGCUGGCGGAGUGUUAACACGCACCAGGCACAGGGAUCACAUCUACAACGGGCCCAGAAUGCCGCUGGCGGAGUGUUAACACGCACCGGUCACAGGGAUCACAUCUACAACGGGCCCAGAAUGCCGCUGGCGGAGUGUUAACACGCACCAGUCAGAGGGAUCACAUCUACAACGGGCCCAGAAUGCCGCCGGCGGAGUGUUAACACGCACCAGUCAGAGGGAUCACAUCUACAACGGGCCCAGAAUGCCGCCGGCGGAGUGUUAACACGCACCAGUCACAGGGAUCACAUCUACGACGGGCCCGGUUUGCCGCCGGCGGAGUGUUAACACGCACCAGUCACAGGGAUCACAUCUACGACGGGCCCGGAUUGCCGCCGGCGGAGUGUUAACACGCACCAGUCACAGGGAUCACAUCUACGACGGGCCCGGAUUGCCGCCGGCGGAGUGUUAACACGCACCAGUCACAGGGAUCACAUCUACGACGGGCCCGGAUUGCCGCCGGCGGAGUGUUAACACGCACCAGUCACAGGGAUCACAUCUACGACGGGCCCGGAUUGCCGCCGGCGGAGUGUUAACACGCACCAGUCACAGGGAUCACAUCUACGACGGGCCCGGAUUUCCGCCGGCGGAGUGUUAACACGCACCAGUCACAGGGAUCACAUCUACGACGGGCCCAGAAUGCCACUGGAGGAGUGUUAACACGCACCAGUCAGAGGGAUCACAUCUACAACGGCCCCAGAAUGUCGCCGGCGGAGUGUUAACACGCACCAGUCACAGGGAUCACAUCUACAACGGGUCCAGAAUGCCGCCGGCGGAGUGUUAACACGCACCAGUCACAGCGAUCACAUCUACAACGGGCCCAGAAUGCCGCCGGCGGAGUGUUAACACGCACCAGUCAGAGGAAUCACAUCUACAACGGGUCCAGAAUGCCGCCGGCGGAGUGUUAACACGCACCAGUCAGAGGGAUCACAUCUACAACGGGCCCAGAAUGUCGCCGGCGGAGUGUUAACACGCACCAGUCACAGGGAUCACAUCUACAACGGGUCCAGAAUGCCGCCGGCGGAGUGUUAACACGCACCAGUCACAGCGAUCACAUCUACAACGGGCCCAGAAUGCCGCCGGCGGAGUGUUAACACGCACCAGUCAGAGGGAUCACAUCUACAACGGGCCCAGAAUGCCGCCGGCGGAGUGUUAACACGCACCAGUCAGAGGGAUCACAUCUACAACGGGCCCAGAAUGCCGCCGGCGG